GCAGUGUAAGUGAGGAAGAGGGCAUAGGGUGGAGUAGUCGGAUGGAAUGCAUGGUUUGAAGAAUCCUAUUUAUCGGGCUGAAAAAUGGUUCCCAUUCCAUCCCAACUCGAAGCUGGGGCCCCUGAAAGGGUCUGACAGUCCUGGCUAACCCCUGGAAAGUUAGCCAAGUCUCCACCGGUGGUUGUUGCUGGCAAUGGAGGGGAUGGAGCUGAGCUCUCAGGAGAAACUGCAGAGGCUUUGCGGUGCCCCAAGGUACCAAGUGAGAACUAGAGAGGAGGGUCCAAGCCCACGGAGCUGGGCAAACAGUCCUGUACCCCAACGCUAACAAGAAGCCAAGGGUGCUGCUGCUGAUGUGCCGCGCUCAGUGAAGUUUCUGACAUCCAAAAGCGCAGGGAACUCAAUUUACAGGAUCUUGGGCCCACUGAAAAAACGAGAAGUCAAUCAGCGGCAGGUGGAGGCUCGUGUUUCAGCCCACAGGGACCUGCUGCCAGGAGCGGGGAGGCGCUGCCUCCCUGACAGCCCCCAGGCCACCUCAGUCUUUCCGAUCCUCAGUCUGUCCAUCUGUAAAGUAGGCAUGAGCAUUUCGACCGCUCACUCCACCCUCGCGAGGAUCUAGGUAAUGAGUGCCAGAGCUCUUGGCACUUUACUGUGUCUCUCCUCUACUUAAUAUUUUCCUACCACCAAUCACAAGAGGGAAAAAGGGUGUAACAACCUCUCCAAACCUCAGUGUUCUCGUCUGUAAAAGGAAACAGUCACAGUAGCAACCUUAUAAACUUCUUGUUUGUACUAACGGGGAGCAUGCACUUCACACAUUGCUAACACAGCCAGGCACAUGGUAUGCUUAUCACAUAAUGUGCCCUCUACAAUACAUUUAAAAUUAGCUUUACUGGGGUAUAUUUGCGUGUGUUUAGAUUGUACAAUUUUGAGUUAUGUGUGCACUCAUGAAACCAUCACCACCAAGGUAAUGAACACACCCAUCACCUCCAAAAAUUUCUCCGUGUGCUUCUUUGUAAUCACUCCCUGCAUCGCUCGCCCCCACACACCCUCUCCAGGCAACCACUGAUCUUCUUUCUAUUACUGUACAUUGGUUUGCAUUUUCCGGAAUUUUAAAUAAAUGGAAUCAUACAGUACAAACUCUCUUUUUUGUAUGGCUUCUUCCACUCGGCAUAAUCGUUUUGAGAUUAUUCAGUCGUUGCCUAUCAAGAGUUCUUUUUUACUGCUUAGUAGUAUUCUUUAUGGGGAUACACCACAAUGUGUUUAUCCAGUCACCUGUUGAUGACAUUUAGGUUAUUUCCAAUGUUUGUCCGUUACGAACAAAGC
rnacentral:lncRNA from 1 species